ensembl:lncRNA
GAAUCAGUAGAAAUUUCGCGCUCAACACCGUUUAAAUCGCUUUCAGUGAUACGCUUCAUUUACAUAAACACAGGCGCUUUUGUUCAGAAACGAUUUAUAAUAAGUUAAUUUAGAAAAAGAAUAAGGUGUACUGCCAGUGAUGUACGUGGUUUCGCUUAAAAAUGCGUUGUUUUAUGAAUCUGGCCUUGUAUCAGUCGCGGCGCUAACGUCCUCCGGCGUUUCAUUUCACCUGACAGACUGCAGGAGGCCCUAACUGGAUUAUCACACAGCAAAACCCGCAUAUUCACAGGGGAUCUCUGAGUCUCGACCCCUUUCAACAUCCCUGUGCACAUGUGAGCUUUAAAACCACAGAAUACAGUAUGUGUGCUCAGAAAAAAAAUGAGCGUAAAGGAGGGUGGCACAGUGUACUACAAGCUGGGUGGAAGAAAGAGGGAUGAAUUUUUCAUGAGGAUGGAGAGCCAGGAGAAGCAGCCGAUGGAGGCGUGUGAAAAUACACAGUGCGGUUUGG